rfam:Ovis aries breed Texel chromosome 4, whole genome shotgun sequence.
GGUAAGGUUUUUUUAAAAACCAUGGUAUUUAUUCAGAAAAAUAUGUU